CAGUUGCAAGUGGGGCGCUAGUUUUCAUGGUAAGAUUGUUUUAUUUCACACAUGAAGCCCAGAUGUUGGAAAACGAGCAAGAAAAAUUUCGUUGCCUAUUAUGCACCCUUAAUUGGUACGAAUGGAACUUACCCAAUCAGAAACUUUUCCAAAUUUUCCUAAUACAAGCUUCAGUGGAGUUAUCUGCUAAUAUGACUCCUUUGCUAAAAAUAGACCAUAAUUAUUUCAAAGAUUGUGUAAAAAUGCUUUAUACGGUGACAAGCCUGGGAAGAACCAUAUUAAACAGAUAAAUGGACUAUGCAUACAACCAGAAAUGACCUAACAAAGAUUUUCUUUUAGUAAUAGUAGAAUAUUAG